UACGGAGGGUGCAAGCGUUAUCCGGAUUCACUGGGUUUAAAGGGUGCGUAGGCGGAUUGGUAAGUCCGUGGUGAAAUCUCUAAGCUUAACUUGGAAACUGCCAUGGAUACUAUUAGUCUUGAAUAUUGUGGAGGUUAGCGGAAUAUGUCAUGUAGCGGUGAAAUGCGUAGAUAUCAAGAGGAACACCUGCGGCGAAGGCGGGUUGCUGGGCUGACACUGACGCUGAGGCGCGAAAGCGUGGGGAGCAAACAGG
rnacentral:rRNA from 1 species